GAAGAGCAUUUGAAAACACUUCAGUGCAAACACGUGGUGUUGCCAAGCACUUUCCCAAAGUAUUGUACACAGGAAAAAACCCAAACAACUCACUCCCAGUUCCCAGGAAAACAACGGGAAGAGAUCUGAUCUUCCUAAACACACAUCGAUUAUCUUGGAAAAGCCUCCAGUAUACCAACAAACCUGCACUGAACUCUGCCAGCCUUCACACAAACUACAGUCACUGAGAGCCCUUUGCUGUGGGGUAUUUAUAUUUUCUUAAUAUUGUAUCUUCCCUGCCCUGGAAACCCAAACUCCUCUCAUUUCCCUGCUCUCCCAGGCGGAGCGUGGCUUUGAUCCCAGUCCUUGCAGCCAGAGGUGAUGCUGCCCCCAGGCUCUCUUUGUGCAUGGUGUGACCUGUGUGCCCCUGUAAAGAUCAGUUUGGAAAACCCAAAGGAUCAGCCUGGUCAAUUAUCAAACACACGGGAAAGAUCCAAGUCCGGAGUGUCCCAGCCCCAGGAGCGCUGUGCCUGGCGGGGAGCAUUGCAGGGCUCAGCCUCACGGAACCACGCGAGGGGUGAGCCUUCAGCAGGCAGCAAUCCUCCCGCGGGAGUGGCACAUGCCAGUCAGGUAGAACUGGAUGGUUCUGGGAGCCCGGGGAGUUGCCAAUUCCGUGAGCAGAUCUGCUUUCCUUUUGGAUGAAUGGCCCUGAAAAAGCCGCUCUGACUCAGCGGGUGUUUGUUCUGCGUAAACGGGGAGCCGUCCUUGCGCAUCAAUCCAGGAGCACGCACAGGGAAUGAAAUAUCCCGCUGCUGCUCCCAGGAAAUGCAGGACUGAGAGCCAAUGGCUUUCUCAUUCAGUUCCCUGCAGCUGCUUUCAAUCUGUGACACAGGAGGCACUCUAAAAUGAAAUGUAAAAUCAGACCAAGGCUGUGGAGAACUUUGUCUUCUCCCAGGACAGAAAAAAAAGCUCAAAUUUUGCCUGGAAAUCUCGACAAGUUGCACAGCUACCAGAACAACUUCUGGGAUAAAGCUUUUCAAUGACUUCAAAUGAAGUCUGAAUCCAAAGGGAUGCAAUUUAACUCCAGGAGAGGUCACCAGCCUGAUCUACUGUCCUAAAUCAUGUAGAACAAAUCAGAUGACUGGACCAAAUAAUCAUAAAUCAGCUGCAAAAUAUAAUUUACGCUCCAAAAGCAGUGAGAGAUUCAUUCACAACAACUCCUACCUGAUUCCAGGUCUUGGGAACCAUCUCCCAAUUUUCACAUGGGAAAGGGAUAAUGCAGCAAAGAAGAGCCAGAAUCAUAAAGCCCUGGUGUAGAUGCCCCUUGCCCCAGGAGUGUGUAUUGUCUAUUCCUGUUCUCUAAAGAGGGAUAUUCUCUGGUUGUAUUCUCUACCUGGGGACAGCUGGUUCCCUUUAUGAACCUGCACUUGGAGUGACUGCCAGUGCCUCUCCCCACACUCACAUUGCAC